GUUUUGGUGUGCAAUGAAAGAAGUAGAAGCUUUACAAUGUGCGGGUGGGCCGGUAUAGGGUUAUAAAUACCAGGAUACACCUGCUCUGCUCAGAGAAAGUGGGUUCGCCUUCUGUAUUAGAGAUUUUGCUAUUUACAACGGCUGGAUAUUAUGUGUAAUUUUAUUUGGUCAACAAUGUGGACACCUACGAUCGCUUUGCUUUUCAUGUGUUCUCAUUGUUUUGUGCGCAGCCUCGACUCCAAUUCAAUCCGAUCCUCUAAAGAAGCGGUGGAUCUAUUGGAACAGGUGGACCCGCACAGUGGAACGGUGGGUGUACAGAAUAAUGUGAACACACGUCGCAGGGAAGAUACAUCUUCUACUCGCCAUCACAUCAGGCCAUCUUGUCCUGAUCAAGAAUGCAAUCCAUCAACGAGAAAUACCUGCAAUGGAUCUCAGAAAAAUAACCAGAGUAAAGAAAAACUUGCUCAUGAUGAUGACGACAACAUAAGGAAAGUUGCAGAGAUGGCCACAUGCAUGCGCUCUGGAGACUGUGAGGCAGGACUGUGCUGCGUCCGCUAUUUAAAAGGGAAAAGAUGUCAACGCAUCCCAAAGGAGGGAGAGACCUGCUUCCUGCGAGGAGGACGCUCUAAACUGCGGAGAAAUCUUGACCGCUGCGACUGUGCACUCGGGCUAACCUGUCGUGCCCAGGCUGAAAGCCCCAAAAACCAAGGAGUUUGUCUACCCAAACCGAGAGAGAACACGAGGAGUGCUAGACACUCAGGCAAGAGGCGUAAUGCCGAGAGAAGAUGUGGAUGACUUAAGCCUUUCUUUCGCUCAAAACUUUUGACUCAAUAAACUACUUUUGUGCCAUUCUUUGUUUAAAAUGUUAUAGGCUAAAUGCAUGUUAGGCUUUUGUAAAUGUAUAUUUAAUUCCAUACAAGCUCCGGUGGUCUACUCUUUGUUUUUAUUUGAGCCCCUCACCUAAUCUUAUUCAUCUUUAAAAGACAAAUCCGCACAUUUCAUAACUUCCUUGAGUUUAAUGGAAUCUGGUACCAUCUCUCAAAUGGUCCAGACCUCAUCAUCACAAUGUCCACUUGUGCCAUCUAUUGGAUGAAGAUUACAAGCAACAAAUUGACAAUAUUUGAAAAGGGUUUUGGGUUUUGUAGCCUGGAAUCCACACUGACCGUUUCAAUAUUGUUUCAUGUCAUUGAUUCAGUCUAGACCUGCUCCAAGAGGGACACUUGGGCCUAAAUUGAAAAUAGCCAGUCCAGUCAGUGACCGAUCAGAAUCUAAAAGUGGGGUUAGCACAAAACCCCAUGUGGCAAAAUGCUGCACUUUAAUGGCCAGGUAGCACAUAAUGGGCCCUGUCAGAUAUUGAUGUAGUUGGUGCUGUAUUUUACCUAAUAUACAUGAGUUCUAACUAGAAAUAAAUCUUUGUUAGUUUACAAUUAUACAACUUAUGUUCUCGCAUAUAAAAACCACGAAGACUGCCGGAAAGGCCCGAACGCAAGAUCGUAAUUUCUAUGACUCACACGGUGAAGAACAUAACAUUUUAUAGCCUGUAGCCUACUGUUCAUGGAGAGCUGGUGUGCAUGAGUGGCACUUCACUUUUUAGUAUGGAAAACAGCUGUGACAUUAUUGAUCCUAAGAUCAAAAUGUUAUUUGUGUAAUGAAAAUGAAUAGUGAAAUAAAAAAUAAACUGCAAUUUCCU
ensembl:lncRNA dickkopf-related protein 4-like